GCAAAGAUGGCCAUGUAAAAUGUGUCAUCAGAAAUGUUAUGUUUUCAGGACAAAAAACAAAAGAAGAAAAGCAGGAAAAAAAAAAGGGAAAAACAUACCGGAAGUAUGAGUGUUUUAGCAAGCCUUGGAUUUAUCCAGGAGCCCCAUCUGACUGACAUUGCCAAAAGGGAUAUGGGAGGAGAAAAAACCUUUCCAGAAAGUUAAUGCAUUGUACUCGUUCAAGGCUCCUUCUGAGAUUACCUGAAUCAGGAAAAAUUGGAAUUGCAUAUAAAUACAUCACCAUGUUUCAUAAAGAGUGUUUCGGUCUCAGGUUAUGCAUGUGACAAUCAUUUAUAUUUCUAUAGCUUUUCUUUUCCAGGUAUGUUUUGGUUAAGUAAUAACCUCUAUGGAAAAUCAAAUGAAUGUGU